CAACGAAUAUUCCGCAAUGGGCGAAAGCCUGACGGAGCGACGCCGCGUGUGGGAAGAAGUCCUUCGGGAUGUAAACCACUGUCAGGGGCUGCCAAAUCAAUGAGGAGCCCCAGAGGAAGCCACGGCUAACCCCGUGCCAGCAGCCGCGGUAAGACAGAGGUGGCUAGCGUUGUUCGGAAUCAUUGGGCUUAAAGCGCACGUAGGCGGCUCUUCAAGUGUCUUGUGAAAUCCCUCGGCUUAACCGAGGAAUGGCUGGGCAUACUGUUGAGCUUGAGGCAGGUAGGGGCGAGUGGAACUCUUGGUGGAGCGGUGGAAUGCGUAGAUAUCAAGAGGAACGCCGGAUGGUGAAGACGACUCGCUGGGCCUGUCCUGACGCUGAGGUGCGAAAGCCAGGGGAGCAAACGGGAUUAGAUACCCCGGUAGUCCUGGCCCUAAACGAUGUCUACUAGGUCGGAGGCACUCUGACGUGGUUCUGGCCGGAAUGAAACGUUAAG
rnacentral:rRNA from 1 species